rnacentral:rRNA from 1 species
AGUUUGAUCCUGGCUCAGGAUGAACGCUAGCUACAGGCUUAACACAUGCAAGUCGAGGGGCAGCAUGAUUGAAGCUUGCUUCAAUUGAUGGCGACCGGCGCACGGGUGAGUAACACGUAUCCAACCUUCCGUACACUCAGGGAUAGCCUUUCGAAAGAAAGAUUAAUACCUGAUGGUAUCUUAAGCACACAUGUAAUUAAGAUUAAAGAUUUAUCGGUGUACGAUGGGGAUGCGUUCCAUUAGGUAGUAGGCGGGGUAACGGCCCACCUAGCCUACGAUGGAUAGGGGUUCUGAGAGGAAGGUCCCCCACAUUGGAACUGAGACACGGUCCAAACUCCUACGGGAGGCAGCAGUGAGGAAUAUUGGUCAAUGGACGAGAGUCUGAACCAGCCAAGUAGCGUGAAGGAUGAAGGUCCUACGGAUUGUAAACUUCUUUUAUAAGGGAAUAAAACCUCCCACGUGUGGGAGCUUGUAUGUACCUUAUGAAUAAGCAUCGGCUAACUCCGUGCCAGCAGCCGCGGUAAUACGGAGGAUGCGAGCGUUAUCCGGAUUUAUUGGGUUUAAAGGGAGCGCAGACGGGUCGUUAAGUCAGCUGUGAAAGUUUGGGGCUCAACCUUAAAAUUGCAGUUGAUACUGGCGUCCUUGAGUGCGGUUGAGGUGUGCGGAAUUCGUGGUGUAGCGGCGAAAUGCUUAGAUAUCACGAAGAACUCCGAUUGCGAAGGCAGCACACUAAGCCGUAACUGACGUUCAUGCUCGAAAGUGUGGGUAUCAAACAGGAUUAGAUACCCUGGUAGUCCACACGGUAAACGAUGGAUACUCGCUGUUGGCGAUAUACGGUCAGCGGCUUAGCGAAAGCGUUAAGUAUCCCACCUGGGGAGUACGCCGGCAACGGUGAAACUCAAAGGAAUUGACGGGGGCCCGCACAAGCGGAGGAACAUGUGGUUUAAUUCGAUGAUACGCGAGGAACCUUACCCGGGCUUAAAUUGCAAAGGAAUAAUCUGGAAACAGGUUAGUCUUCGGACCUUUGUGAAGGUGCUGCAUGGUUGUCGUCAGCUCGUGCCGUGAGGUGUCGGCUUAAGUGCCAUAACGAGCGCAACCCUCGCCGCCAGUUACUAACAGUUAAAGCUGAGGACUCUGGCGGGACUGCCAUCGUAAGAUGUGAGGAAGGUGGA